GACGUAGGGCGCGAGCGUCGUCCGGAAUUAUUGGGCGUAAAGAGCUCGUAGGCGGCUUGUUGCGUCGACUGUGAAAACCCGUGGCUCAACCAUGUGGUCUGCAGUCGAUACGGGCAGGCUAGAAUUCGGUAGGGGAGACUGGAAUUCCUGGUGUAGCGGUGAAAUGCGCAGAUAUCAGGAGGAACACCGGUGGCGAAGGCGGGUCUCUGGGCCGAUAUUGACGCUGAGGAGCGAAAGCGUGGGGAGCGAACAGG
rnacentral:rRNA from 1 species